rnacentral:rRNA from 1 species
AGUGAACGCUGGCGGUAUGCCUAACACAUGCAAGUCGAACGGCAGCACAGUAAGAGCUUGCUCUUACGGUUGGCGAGUGGCGGACGGGUGAGGAAUACAUCGGAAUCUACUUUUUCGUGGGGGAUAACGUAGGGAAACUUACGCUAAUACCGCAUACUACCUACGGGUGAAAGCAGGGGAUCUUCGGACCUUGCGCGAUUGUAUUAGCCGAUGUCGGAUUAGCUAGUUGGCGGGGUAAAGGCCCACCAAGCCGACGAUCCGUAGCUGGUCUGAGAGGAUGGUCAGCCACACUGGAACUGAGACACGGCCCAGCCUCCUAGGGGAGGCAGCAGUGGGGAAUAUUGGACAAUGGGCGAAAGCCUGCUCCAGCCAUACCGCGUGGGUGAAGAAGGCCUUCGGGUUGUAAAGCCCUUUUGUUGGGAAAGAAAAGCAGCAGGUUAAGACCCCGCUGUUCUGACGGUACCCAAAGAAUAAGCACCGGCUAACUUCGU